UGGGGAAUUUUGGACAAUGGGCGCAAGCCUGAUCCAGCCAUGCCGCGUGCAGGAUGAAGGCCUUCGGGUUGUAAACUGCUUUUGUACGGAACGAAAAGGUGCCUUCUAAUAAAGGGCGCUCAUGACGGUACCGUAAGAAUAAGCACCGGCUAACUACAUGACAGCAGCCGCGGUAAUACGGAGGGUGCGAGCGUUGUUCGGAAUUACUGGGCGUAAAGCGCGUGCAGGCGGUCCCUUAAGUCUGGUGUGAUAGCCCGGGGCUCAGCCCCGGAAGGGCACUGGAGACUGGUAGGCUAGAGUACUGGAGAGNAAGGUGGAAUUCCUGGUGUAGCGGUGAAAUGCGUAGAUAUCAGGAGGAACACCGGUGGCGAAGGCGGGCUUCUGGACGGCUACUGACGCUGAGACGCGAAAGCGUGGGGAGCAAACA
rnacentral:rRNA from 1 species